AGCGACUGUGCAGGUUACCGCGGCUGCUGGCACGGAGUUAGCCGGUGCUUCUUCUGCGAGUAACGUCACAGAUGUAAGGUAUUAACUUACACCCUUUCCUCCUCGCUGAAAGUGCUUUACAACCCGAAGGCCUUCUUCACACACGCGGCAUGGCUGCAUCAGGGUUUUCCCCCAUUGUGCAAUAUUCCCCACUGCUGCCUCCCGUAGGAGUCUGGGCCGUGUCUCAGUCCCAGUGUGGCUGAUCAUCCUCUCAGACCAGCUAGGGAUCGUCGCCUAGGUGAGCCUUUACCUCACCUACUAGCUAAUCCCACCUGGGCUUAUCCAUCAGCGCAAGGCCCGAAGGUCCCCUGCUUUCCCCCGUAGGGCGUAUGCGGUAUUAGCAGUCGUUUCCAACUGUUAUCCCCCACAAAUGGGCAAAUUCCCAGGCAUUACUCACCCGUCCGCCGCUCGUCAUCUUCAAAAAGCAAGCUUUUGAAAUGUUACCGCUCGACUUGCAUGUGUUAGGCCUGCCGCCAGCGUUCAAU
rnacentral:rRNA from 1 species